UACGAAGGGGGCUAGCGUUGCUCGGAAUUACUGGGCGUAAAGCGCACGUAGGCGGAUUGCUAAGUCAGGGGUGAAAUCCCGGAGCUCAACUCCGGAACUGCCUUUGAUACUGGCGAUCUUGAGUUCGGGAGAGGUGAGUGGAACUGCGAGUGUAGAGGUGAAAUUCGUAGAUAUUCGCAAGAACACCAGUGGCGAAGGCGGCUCACUGGCCCGAAACUGACGCUGAGGUGCGAAAGCGUGGGGAGCAAACAGG
rnacentral:ncRNA from 2 species